GGGGGUCUUCUCUCUUGGCUUUGGAGCUCCCCAUUCCUCUGUGUCUGUAACAGGGGAGCUUCUUCCUUCUUUCUUCUCCCUUCUUUCUUGCCUGUUAAACUCUCUGCUUCUUAAAACCACUCCAUGUAUGUCCAGGUCAUUUUAUCUAAUUUGGAGACGGAGAACCCUGGUGUUCCUCUGCUCAUCAGAGCCGUCUCACCUGCAAGGGCCAGGAUCCAGCACUAGGGCUGCCCUUUAUGUUCAUGCAGCCUCCACUAGGAAGAUCCUCCUUAGCUGCCACCUGCUGUAAAGGGAUCUAUCUAUCUAUCUGUCUAUCUAUCUAUCUAUCUAUCUUUCUAUCUACCUGUCGAGAGAGAGAGAGGUUUAUUAUAAGGAAUUGACUCAUGUGAUUAUGGAGGCUGAGAAGUUCCACAGUCUGCUGUCUGCAAGCUGGAGACCCAGGAAGGCUGCUGGUGCCGUUCCAGUUUGAUUCUGAAGGCCUGAGAACCAGAACUGAUGCCCACUCAACAUGAAGAUGACAAGGAUGAAGACCUUUAUGAUGAUCCAUUCCCACUUACUGAAUAAACUUCACCAGGACCCAGGAAAUAAGAUUUGAUUGCUGCACACUUAGAAACAAUGGCAAUCAAGGGAAAUGCCCCAUCUUACAUGGAGCUCUUCUAGUGGAAACACCAUGGUUGCCACCACGUACUGCUCCGUACCUAAGUUUCUAGGAACCAGACUCUGGAAACUCUUCUAGAACUGCCCCAGGAGAACCAACGUGUCUGUUGCUUGCAAAGACCUCCAGUGUCCCUGAGCCUGGCCACUGCCUCCCAUUGCUCAAACCCUCCUAGUCUCGUAUGUGGACAUCUGCUUGGAAGAAUCUCAUCCACGUACAAAAUCCUGGCUCUGAUAUCAAGCAUUUUAUUCAACUAUGGAAUGGAAGCAACAGAUUACAGCAGCAUUAACAAGACCUGGGAUACCAUCACCAAUCAAAAUCAUGGAUAUUUCAUAGCACAAGAACGUUGUUUCAGAAUCUCAAAGUACUCCUCCUACUCAACAUGACUUUGAAAUUGCAAUAGUUGUUAGAACGGUCACUGCAGUUUGAUAUAUGAUGUGUUUACAAAGAGGCACAUAUAUUGCUCUUUCAGAAUUAUAACUCUGUAUGCAUUUCAAUGUAAUUGGUUUCCUUUGUCAUCUUCUGAAUUUUAUGUAUUUAAAAAUAUUAUUCUGAUGUUAAUACACAACAAAGAAAGGAUAGAAUUUUCAAUAAAUGGUGUUGGGGAAAUUGGAUAUCCAUAUACAAAA
rnacentral:lncRNA from 1 species